rnacentral:tRNA from 11 species
GCCCCGGUGGUGGAAUUGGUAGACACAAGGGAUUUAAAAUCCCUCGGCGUUCGCGCUGUGCCGGUUCAAGUCCGGCCCGGGGCACCA